rnacentral:rRNA from 1 species
AACGCGAAGAACCUUACCUACCCUUGACAUGUCCGAGAGCCGGAAGAGAUUUCGGUGUGCCCGAAAGGGAAUCGGAACACAGGUGCUGCAUGGCUGUCGUCAGCUCGUGUCGUGAGAUGUUGGGUUAAGUCCCGCAACGAGCGCAACCCUUGUCAUUAGUUGCUACAUUCAGUUGGGCACUCUAAUGAGACUGCCGGUGACAAACCGGAGGAAGGUGGGGAUGACGUCAAGUCCUCAUGGCCCUUAUGGGUAGGGCUUCACACGUAAUACAAUGGCGCGUACAGAGGGCUGCUAAGCCGCAAGGUAGAGCCAAUCCCUUAAAGCGGGUCGUAGUCCGGAUUAGAGUCUGCAACUCGACUCCAUGAAGUCGGAAUCGCUCUAAAAGGGGAUCCGCACGCCCGCGGCGAAUACGUUCCCCGGUUGUUUCCACGCG